rnacentral:RNase_P_RNA from 1 species
AGUAGGAUGAGUGAUCGCGGCUGUCCGUCCCUCAGGCUGAGGGCGGCAGGUGAGGAAAGUCCGGGCUUCACAGGGCAGGAUGCCGGAUAACGUCCGGUGGAGGCGACUCCAAGGCCAGUGCAACAGAAAUAUACCGCCCCGCAGGCUUUCCGGAAACGGAAGAUCUGCGGAAAGGGCCUUCGGGCCUGGUAAGGGUGGAAAGGCAGAGUAAGAGACUACCGCCCGCCUGGCAACAGGCGGGGCACAUGUAAACCCCAUCCGAAGCAAGACCAAACAGAGAGCGACAGGCUCGCCCGGCCUGCUCUCAGGUAGGUCGCUUGAGGCUGCCGGCAACGGCAGUCCUGGAUAGAUGAUCAUUCACGACAUAACCCGGCUUACAGUCCUGCUCAU